rnacentral:rRNA from 1 species
GAGCCCUACGGGACGCAGCAGUGAGGAAUAUUGGUCAGUGGGCGCGAGCCUGAACCAGCCAAGUCGCGUGAGGGAAGACGGUCCUAUGGAUUGUAAACCUCUUUCGUCAGGGAGCAAAGUCACCCACGUGUGGGUGUUGGAGAGUACCUGAAGAAAAAGCAUCGGCUAACUCCGUGCCAGCAGCCGCGGUAAUACGGAGGAUGCGAGCGUUAUCCGGAUUUAUUGGGUUUAAAGGGUGCGUAGGCGGGUUAUCAAGUCAGCGGUAAAAUCGUGGAGCUCAACUCCAUCCAGCCGUUGAAACUGAU